AAUUCUACAGUAUAUGUAUAAUGGCAAUACUACUACUCCCGGCUCUCUGACAAAAAAAUGCAAAUCAUGGGUUUCACCAUGUCCUGAGGAUUGGGAAAGGAAAAGCAAAUAUGAGUACACAAGUUGAAAGCAAACUUUAUGUCAAUAGUACAUGCUUAAUAAAUUUGACAAUAAAGCAAAAUAUAAACAGUA